rnacentral:misc_RNA from 1 species
UGCACGUCCAGCUCACCGAGGAGCUCUACCAAGCAUCCUGGCGGCCAGCGCAGGUCGACGCUGUGCCGCCCUUCCCCCAAAACGUCCCUCAAAGUCCUCCACCAGCCCAAAGUGUCCUCCAGCAUGCCACCGUCGCCAAGCCCACGCCGACGAAGCCCGCUGGCGCGUACCGGCCUCCUGGGGCGCGGGGUAUCGAGGCGUCGGCGGCGUACAAG